rnacentral:rRNA from 1 species
UACGGAGGGUGCAAGCGUUAUCCGGAUUUACUAGGUUUAAAGGGUGCGUAGGUGGGUUGGGAAGUCAGUGGUGAAAUACUUUCGCUUAACGAAGGAACUGCCAUUGAUACUAUCAAUCUUGAAUGUAGUGGAGGUAGGCGGAAUGCGUCAUGUAGCGGUGAAAUGCUUAGAUAUGACGCAGAACACCAAUUGCGAAGGCAGCUUGCUACACUACUAUUGACACUGAGGCACGAAAGCGUGGGGAUCAAACAGG